AUCGCUUCUUGGCCUUUUGGCUAAGAUCAACUGUAGUAUCUGUUCUUAUCAGUUUAAAAAACAAUGAGAUACCACCUGAUGCCUGUUAGAAUGCCUAAAAUCAAGAAGUGUUGGCAAAAACAUGAAGAAAAAAAAACCCUCA
rnacentral:snRNA from 1 species